AGGACAAACGCUGGCGGGGUGCGUGAGACAUGCAAGUCGAACGAGGUGCCAUCGGGCUUGCUCGAUGGCUACCUAGUGGCGGACGGCUGAGUAACGCGUAGGUGACCUACCCGGAAGUGGGGAAUAACUGCCCGAAAGGGUGGCUAAUACCGCAUACGGUCGACGAUUCGUUUCGUCGUCCAAAGGAGUAAUCCGCUUCCGGCGGGGCCUGCGUCCGAUUAGCUAGUUGGUGGGGUAACGCUCACCAAGGCGACGAUCGGUAGCUGGUCUGAGAGGAUGAUCAGCCAGACUGGGACUGAGAACGGCCCAGACUCCUACGGGAGGCAGCAGUCGGGAAUUUGCCCAAUGGACGAAAAGUCUGAGGCAGCAAACUCCGCGUGAGGGACGAAAGGCUCUCGGGUCGUAAAACCUCUUUUCUCAGGGAAGAUCCAAAGACGGUACCUGAGGAAUAAAGCCAACGGCUAACUACGUGCCAAGCAAGCCGAC
rnacentral:rRNA from 1 species